rnacentral:lncRNA from 1 species
GUGAGACGAUGGAGGAGCCGAGCGGUUGCUGUGGCUUUAGCCGGGUUGAAGGAGCAGUCGUGAGAAGUUUCCCGUUUGGAGCUGGGCUCCAAAGAGAAGGAACUUGAAAUUGCUACUUCUGAUAAAACUAGGAAAAGUGUCCCUGCUUGGCUGUUUGUUCCUUGCAAGCAGCAGAGCCCAGCCCCGAGAUUCCUCAGCGUUUGUGACCCGCAGUCACUGUCACCACGGCUCCCUUUGCCACUCCCCUGCUGAAGGGCAGGAGCUGCACAGAGCCAGGGGCAUUCAGCUGCAGGAUCCAGGAGGAUGCAGCUCCUCUUUUCAAGGAGGUCACUGGGAAGCGUGGGACAAGAACUGAACAAUAACUGCUUGCGGGCCCUGGCAAGGAGAGGAGCAGCAAAUUCUGCUGGAAGACUUUCU